GGUGCCCCUGCACAUAAUUUAUAGCUUACCCAGUUUUUCCUUCAGCCUUUGACUCGUUAUUUGGUACUGAAGCCAAAUCCGGUUCACCGGCCGUUCAAGCUUCCUUAUUAGGCCAGGUUGAUUACAUUUCAAAUGUGGCCUUAGGUUGGGGUGGCACCUCCUCACAGAGCCUGAAACAAAUGGAAAAGCAGGCCUUAACCCGGUAUUUCUAAACUUAAGAUCCUUUAACUCUCUAAAUGUUUAACAUUGGUUUUAAUUCAGAGAAUCAGGAAACGUGUGUCUGCGUGCACAUCGAUUGGCUUGCUUGUCAGAAGGCCCAGCACGAGUGCCUCUUGGUCACAUGUUUUAGUUUUUUAAUUUUCCGUGAGUGAGGUGAAAACGUCCAAGAAAAGAUAGUAAACGGUAGUAUAGCGUCUUCUCUUUUAUCAAAUCGUUAAGGGUCCAGAAAUAAGUACUAUAUCUGUACCCUUUUAUUCUUAGAUUAUUUACAGACUCCUGAUGGGAACGAGAGCCCUCGUUCUGUUGCGGGAAACCUCCCCCAGCUUGCGCUCAGAGUGGGCGAGGAGGUGAGGGCAGCACGCCGAGACCGGGCCGGGGCCUCCAGAGGCGCUCCUGUCUGGGGGGGGUGGCCGCAUUUUAAGUUGAUGAGCUUGAACACUAAACAUCUUUAGAGAUACGUUUAGAUUAGUAAUAUCACAUCUUCCAAAUAUUUUUUUUUCACACAGGUAUUUUUUCAGUGUUGAGGGAAAAGUGCAAACGAAUCCAUAAAGCUCUACAAGGCAUUUCUGGGCUAAAAGUGGUGGGAGAGUCAUUUUCUCCCGCAUUUCACCUGCAGCUACAAGAGAGCACUGGGUCUCGAGAAGAAGAUGUUAAACUUCUUCAGGAGAUUGUGAAUCACUGCAUGGACAGGAGCAUCGCGUUAACUCAGGCACGCUACCUGGAGAAAGAGGAGAAGUGCCUCCCUCCGCCGAGCAUCAGGGUCGUGGUCACAGUGGAACAGACAGACGAAGAGCUGGAGAGAGCCGCACGCACAAUCAAGGAGGUGGCCCAGGCCGUGCUGCUGUAGGCGGGUCCCAGGGCCAGGUGGACAGUCGCCGUGCGGCACACGCAGGUCUCCCAGUUGCCGCCGAGCAACCUGGAAGAGGCCUGCGGGUACCUGGCGGGGUGGCCACCGACCAAUCACGUGGGUGUGGACUCGGCGGGCCGCCACGAGGAGGAUGCUGGUUAUUUAAACACACAGACACACACACACACCCCUAAAAGCCCAGGAACUGGUUUUUUAAGAAGAAAACUAAUGACAGCAUAUAACCGAUAUUUAAAUUGUGCGGUUUAGUACUAUUUAAAUGUUUUAUUAUACUAGUAUUUUAUAUUCGUUUGUUGUUGCCGUUUAAAAAUGGAGCUUCAGUUUAUCUCUUCUCCCUCUAACAGUAAUUGUGCGAGCACUCCUAACGUUUCCUAGCAAAGCAUCUCUGCAGCAUUAAAGCUUAGAGGAGCACUUCACCGUCUAGGACACAAAGCGUAUCUGUGAGGAUCUAAUUCAGCCACGUCUUACGCGGUCUCCAUCCCGUGAAGCCCAGUGGUGGUUAAUGUGUAAGGAAGCACUCUUUGUGCUGUUGCGACAACCUUUUCAUUAUAUUUGAAUCCUAGAGUUUUUAUAUACAUUUCUAACAGCUUACCUUAGCAUCCCUAACUGGAGAAUGACUACUCAUUGUAUUUCCUAAGUGAGCAAUAAUUUAAAUCAAAUACUAUUUUAGUUUAAUAUAAUUGACCUUCACAUUUAUUGUGUGUUGACUUCUAAUCUGUUUUAGGAGGAGGGUUACUGUGACGAUCCCAGAAUAGAAAUCAUGUCCUUGAUAUUUUAGAAUAUCUUGAAUGUAUUCCUUUUUUGUAGAGUGGGUUUGCCUAAGGACAUAUAACUACUGUCUUUUUCUAAGCGAAGGAAAAUUAUUUUUAUUUUCAGCUUAUGAAUUCCAAAUAUCUAAAAAUGUGAAUGCACUAAAAAUAAAAUUUUUAAGCUGGACUUUAGCUAUCUGUUUUUUCUUGUGCCGUGUGCCACAAGGUAGUGUGUAACUAUUACACCGUUGUUUCUUCUCUUAGUAAAGGUAAAGGAGUAAAAUUGUUAAAAAAAAAAAAAAAAAAGUAAUAAUGCCAUUUUUAUAAUAUGUGUUCAUAUUAACAAAUGGUCUUCAACAUCUUUUUAAAUAACAUAUUUUUUAAUGUUUAGUUUCUAUUUUGCUUGAGGUAUUUCGUACAUAUGUGCCUUGUGAUUGCUGCUGCUUUAAAGGAUACAGUACUGUCUUUGGGGGAUGUAUCUUUUCGUUUUAUUUUUUAAUGAAAUAAACCUACAUUCCUGAUAAUCAGUCUAUAUGCAUGUGUAAUGUGUUCAACAGAAUAGCCUCCGGAUUUUCACUUUUCCACCUAGGUAGGGUAGUAGUCUUGGUGCCUGUGUUUAGAAAAUAUUAAGUACAGGGGUGCCUGGGUGGCUCAGUCGGUUAAGCUUCCAACUUUGGCUCAGGUCAUGAUCUCACAGUUCGAGAGUUCGAG